AGAUAAGAUUUCCCAUUACGUAAGUAAGUAAGAUCCCUGAAAGAUGAUCAGGUAGAUAGGAUGGAAGUGGAAGUGCUGUGAGGCAUGGAGCGGACCAUUACUAAUCGAUCGAGGACUUAACCAA
rnacentral:rRNA from 1 species